rnacentral:rRNA from 1 species
AUUGAACGCUGGCGGCAGGCCUAACACAUGCAAGUCGAGCGAGCGGCGGACGGGUGAGUAAUGUAUGGGGACUGCCCGAUAGAGGGGGAUAACUACUGGAAACGGUGGCUAAUACCGCAUACUAUCGGAUAACCCAUAUGGGAUUAGCUAGUAGGUGGGGUAAAGGCUGACCUAGGCGACGAUCUCUAGCUGGUCUGAGAGGAUGAUCAGCCACACUGGAACUGAGAAACGGCCCAGACUCCUUCGGAGGCAGCAAUGGGGAAUAUUUCACAAUGCGCGCAAGCCUGGUGGAGCCGUGCCGCGUGUAUGAAGAAGGCCUUAGGGUUGUAAAGUACUUUCAACAGAGAGGCGUUACCCGCAGAAGAAGCGCCGGCUAACUCCGUGCCAGCAUCCGCGGUAAUAC